AGUGAAGGAGAUGAUGUGUUUAUCUGUGAAUAUGAGUAUGACAUACAGUGGCAUAACUUCAGGCGCAUGGCAGAGAUU